rnacentral:rRNA from 1 species
AUUGAACGCUGGCGGAAUGCUUUACACAUGCAAGUCGAACGGUAGAGGGGGCAACCCCUCGAGAGUGGCGAACGGGUGAGUAAUAUAUCGGAACGUGCCCAGUCGUGGGGGAUAACGUAGCGAAAGUUACGCUAAUACCGCAUACGAUCUAAGGAUGAAAGCGGGGGAUCGCAAGACAUCGCGCGAUUGGAGCGGCCGAUAUCAGAUUAGGUAGUUGGUGGGGUAAAGGCUCACCAAGCCAACGAUCUGUAGCUGGUCUGAGAGGUCGACCAGCCACACUGGAACUGAGACACGGUCCAGACUCCUACGGGAGGCAGCAGUGGGGAAUUUUGGACAAUGGACGCAAGUCUGAUCCAGCCAUUCCGCGUGCAGGAUGAAGGCCCUCGGGUUGUAAACUGCUUUUGUACGGAACGAAAAGGUCUCUCUUAAUACGGGGGGCUCAUGACGGUACCGUAAGAAUAAGCACCGGCUAACUACGUGCCAGCAGCCGCCGUAA